UACGGAGGGUGCGAGCGUUGUCCGGAAUCACUGGGCGUAAAGGGCGCGUAGGCGGCGCGACAAGUCAGUGGUGAAAGCCCGAGGCUCAACUUCGGGUCGGCCACUGAUACUGUCGGGCUCGAGCACUGUAGAGGCAGGUGGAAUUCCGGGUGUAGCGGUGGAAUGCGUAGAGAUCCGGAAGAACACCGGUGGCGAAGGCGGCCUGCUGGGCAGUAGCUGACGCUGAGGCGCGACAGCGUGGGGAGCAAACAGG
rnacentral:rRNA from 1 species